rnacentral:rRNA from 1 species
UGCCAGCAGCCGCGGUAAUACAGAGGUCUCAAGCGUUGUUCGGAAUCACUGGGCGUAAAGCGUGCGUAGGCGGUUUCGUAAGUCGUGUGUGAAAGGCGGGGGCUCAACCCCCGGACUGCACAUGAUACUGCGAGACUAGAGUAAUGGAGGGGAACCGGAAUUCUCGGUGUAGCAGUGAAAUGCGUAGAUAUCGAGAGGAACACUCGUGGCGAAGGCGGGUUCCUGGACAUUAACUGACGCUGAGCACGAAGGCCAGGGAGCGAAAGGG